GGCCACCUUAGCUCAGUUGGUAGAGCAGCGCCUUCGUAACGCGCAGGUCAGCGGUUCGAUUCCGCUAGGUGGCUCGUA
rnacentral:tRNA from 1 species